rnacentral:lncRNA from 12 species
GCAUUGUACACAAACAACAUAAUAGAUAAUACUGCACUCAAAAGCUUUUAUUUGAACAGACAAGAUAGAUGUGGGGGGCUGAAGGGCUUUGAUGUGCAAGUAGAUGUGUUUGUGUGAUAAUGGAAAAGGGUCUGUUAGGACUCUGUGGAGAGGGUAAUGAAUUUAGGGCUAGCAAGUGGGUAGGAGUCUUAGUGAGAAAAGGAUAAAAAGUGUUUAGUGGGGAAAGAAAUUAGGUGAAUUUGAAUUAAUUUGUGUUGUGUGUAUAUGCUUUUAUAAUUCUUCCUUCCUCCAUUCAAUAUUGCAUGUGCUUUAUUACCUUUUCUUCUUUUUAGGAAGCAAAUUACAGUAAUUCAGGUCGUGAAUAAACUUGGAGACUUUUUGUUCUCAAAUGAAGUGUGUGAAACAAGUCAUGUAAUUUAUUGGGAGUCCUCGUUGUACUUUGAAUGUUAUGCUGGGAAUUGCUCAUGGGUGUUGGAUUGUUUCUCAUGAAUGGUUCUGUGGUCUUUGGAAUUAGGCCAUUCAUCUCAGAGGAACCAUAUGAGCUUUCAUCCAGCUUCCCUGCAGCUCCUGUAAGUUUAAUGGUCCUUUAAGCUUGUGAACCUUCUUUUGUUU